UCCUGCUCUGCCUCUGCUGCAGUCAGAAUUCCCUCAGUAAUUGCAAUCAGGUGGGAGCCUUCACCAGCUACUUGCUUUUCUCCUCCUCCCACAGAGGAUCAUUCCCAGGCCAUCAGACAGGGCUCUGCUAUUCUGCACCGGGGUGGUGAAAAUCCUGGCGCUUCAGGGGCAGCCUUUACUCCACUGAACAUUAACAGAAUGUCACUGCUCUGUGCUCCAGGACCCAGAUCACACUCACACUUAAAUCCCACAAUCUGAUCUCCCACUGGAGAAUCCUGCACUAAAACUGGGAAUUGUUUCACAUUCCACUUUUCAGACGUCCAGGAAGGAUCUUCAAACAUCUGUGCUCUCCCUGCCUUAAAACAUGAAGACUAAUGAGCGAAAGCUGAUUUUUCUACUGUUAUGCCAAAUCAGAGCUGACUUUGGACUCCAGUUUCAGAGGUGUGUGAAUCACAACAGUCCCGUUCUCAUUCACAUGCAUAACAACGCAGCUCCCAUUAACACCACCGGGAAGACAAACGAGCCUGGAAAAGGAGGGUUUUCUUCAACCAAAAUAACAUCAUGCGAAUCUACUUUUAGCCUUUAAUGGCAAAGCAACACCCUGGAGGGUCUUUUACCGUAGAUGUUCAAAAUUACAGCUGAAACAACACCUGCACAGCCGUUUUAAAAAAGUAAAACGUCUUAUAUAAUUUUAAAGCUGGUUUUCCUACUUGCUCCUUGCUGCCCAAAAAGUGUAGCUGCAGUAUUCUAUAUGCCCUCCCCAUGCAAUAUGAAUUCAGAUGGUGGCUGACAGGGGGAGAUUUGGAAGUAAGAUUUAUCUCAAAGCAUGUUUCCAUGUUUACACACUCAGCAUCGUUUUUCAUUUCCACCUUUAACCAUUAUUCCUCCCUGGCAGUAGAAGUCAGGUUCUUAAUUAUGUGGAAUUUUUCAUUGUAAUGAAAGGAAACAUAAAGAUCCUUGUGAACACAUUCACAUUUAUAACUUAUUUACAAUGUGUUUUCAGGGUUCCAAUAAUUCAUAGUGCUAAAGGUGGAAGACUCCACACACUAGCUGCAGUAUUAAUGCUUUGAAAAAUUAUUAGCCAAACUAGGAAUUUUAUUAGUCAGCUUUUCAUGUUAGAUGUGCUCUGCUGGGAUUUUGCUAUAUCAAUGCUUACUUCAUGUUCUGACAAUUUUUCUAACUAGCCUGAGAUAUUAUUGUAUUAGAUGAUGAUUUACUCAUUCUAUUAAGCCCUGACAAUAAAUACAUUUUAUGCUAAA